UAUCAUCUUGAAACACUGGUUCUUGUCUGAUUACCAAAGUUAAGUAACAUUGAACCUGGCCAGUACUGAGAUGGGUGACUGCUUGGAAAUACCAGGUGCUGCA